AGGACUCAGCGAGCAGAGCCGGGCAGUUUCUGCCGGCCCUGCUCUCUCCCUCCUCUUUUUUCGACAGGUGACGGCAGUUGACUGGUGGGCGGGGCGCGCACACCUGCAGCGUGUUCUGCAGCACUAUAAGAUCUGCGCUCGGACAGCGGGAGGACGCCGGAAUAUUAACCGUUGUUGGUUCGCUCUCGUGUCCCGAGGCUUGAGCCUAACUGAACUCACCUGCUCACGACUCCCAUCGGAUCAGUCCGGUUCCUUCCGCUGCCUGUGUUUUCGCCAGAGCUGCUCGGACCUUGCCUCACGCCUACGCCCCCCAAUCAUAUGUCCGCACCACUCCAUCUGGAGCUGAGUCCGUUGCGCUUCCCCCUCCGGUCCGGCUUCCGAAUCUAAGUGAUCGUUCGUGCUCCGUCCGAGUCUCUCUCCCCGUGAUCGCUCCAUUGUGAGCCCUUUUUCGUGAUUACUUCCCCGAACAUUUUCCCUGUUGUUAUUGUCAAUAAACUCCGUAAAACUACUUCCUGUGAGCCGGUGUUCUCUGCAUGUGGGCCAAACAUAUCAAACCGACCA